rnacentral:rRNA from 1 species
UACCAGCACCCCGAGUGGUCGGGACGAUUAUUGGGCCUAAAGGCAAUCCGUAGCCGGCCUUACAGGUCCCCCGUUAAAUCCAACUGCUUAACAGAUGGGCUGCCGGAGGAUACUAUAAGACUAGGAGGCAGGAGAGGCAAGCGGUGACUCAGUGGGUAGGGGUAAAAUCCGUUGAUCCAUUGAAGACCACCAGUGGCGAAGG